CCUAUAAAUUUUAAACCUGGGCUUUGAGGUGGCCUAUAAUUAUCAGAAUAACAACACAGCAAGGGAUAUCAAAUGAAUCCACUGAAAACUGAAACUUUAUAUUCCUUUUUUUUUUUUUAAUCUAACAGUAAAUCACCUAUGUGGUAGAAUGGAAAGAGUACCAGCCCGCAGACAAGGGGAUGCAGGAGAGGGACAGUCUUUCCCACUUCUUCCUUUCAUCCUGAUGAUAGCACA
rnacentral:lncRNA from 1 species